AGACUCUACGAGUUUGAUCCUGGCUCAGAACGAACGCUGGCGGCAUGCCUAACACAUGCAAGUCGAACGAACCCUUCGGGGUUAGUGGCGCACGGGUGCGUAACGCGUGGGGAUCUGCCCAAAGGUUCGGAAUAACUCAGAGAAAUUUGAGCUAAUACCGGAUAAUGUCUUCGGACCAAAGAUUUAUUGCCUUUGGAUGAACCCGCGUAGGAUUAGCUUGUUGGUGGGGUAAAGGCCUACCAAGGCGACGAUCCUUAGCUGGUCUGAGAGGAUGAUCAGCCACACUGGGACUGAGACACGGCCCAGACUCCUACGGGAGGCAGCAGUGGGGAAUAUUGGACAAUGGGCGAAAGCCUGAUCCAGCAAUGCCGCGUGAGUGAUGAAGGCCUUAGGGUUGUAAAGCUCUUUUACCAGGGAUGAUAAUGACAGUACCCGGAGAAUAAGCUCCGGCUAACUCCGUG
rnacentral:rRNA from 1 species